GGAGAUUGACCUGGGCUCACUCCUCCUAACGUUCAUCGUCGAAAGAUUCCAUAGGCUACUGUUUAAUCUCCAGAUCAUACUGGAAAGCGUUUUUCUGUCCCUCCCAAGUAAAGGCCCUCAAGAAGAACCCCCUUACCAGCACUACAAAUCAGAGGAGGCUGAACGGUCAUUAGGGAAAUGGUUUACUGGGGCAAGGGACAGGGGAGGGCUGAGGGCAGCCAGAGUGGCGAAGUGAUUUAAUUCAAUUCAAUUUAGGCAUUGCUGUUUGUAACCAGUUGUUGUUGUUGUUCUCUGUGUUGAUGUUGAUGUUCUCUGUGUUGUAAUUUAUUAAAUG